CGUCUAAAUAUGUCUGUUGUAAAUAGUGUAGCCAGCAUCUCAGAGACCCCCAUUGUAGCCAGCAUCCCAUAGAGAGAGCUCAGCAUUCAAUGAGCGCUGGAAGAGGCUGCCAGAAGCUGAUAAGGAGACGUAACAGAUUGUGAGUAAAAAUGGGGAAGGAAACAGUAAAAGACAGGCAAAGUCAGUUGGUGGUCAUGGAGAACAAACGGCAAGGAGAUCAAAAGGAAAUAGCCUUGCACUUUAACUCCUAGUCAGCAUGAAUUUUUAAAAAGGGAAGCUUUACGUGAACUUAAUCUAGAGUCUAGACAUUAACUGUAAAGAAAUGUUUCCACCAAAAAAAGGAGGGUAUUGAAUGAGAACUUGUAUUUUUAUUUUUUGUGGUAGAAUUCUUUUUGGGGUGGCAGGGGUUAGGAGCGGGGGCAAAUGAGAGGCAGUCUCUGUUCACGCAAGGAGGGGUGUCAGCCCUUACAGACCCUCCGAUUGACCUCACCAGAGUUGCCAGAUGAACCAAGGCAUGCUUUGUUUCUGGACUUAAUCUUUUUCAUAUUAAGAGGUUUACAUCAUCCAAAGUCAUCCAUGAUGUAGUUGAUGUGAACAGAAGCCAUUUCCUACUAGUAAGAAGAGAGUACUUCAGUCCCUGGUUGAAAUUGGCUAAAGGGUGAUGUGUGCAUUCUGCUCCCCCUUCAGACAACUGGGAGGGAGCUGGAAUCAGGAAGCCCCCUAACAAUUAUGGGCAUUGUAUUACACAACCAUAAAUAUGCACAGCCAUUGAGCUGUUUUUGCUCUGGCACUAAUGAUCUUGAAUUGUUCACAGCUACUUUCUCUCCUGAUGAAACUUUGAGGUAGUCAGUAACUUGGCUAGGCAGUCUUUCUAAGCUGGCUGGAUGACACAUUCACCUGAGUAAAAACUCCAACACAUUCUUCUGGACUUCUAAUUCACAUAAGAAAGGCACAACACAUCCAAGAAUGAAGGAGUUGUCAGGAAUUAAAAGACAGCAGCAACUCUCACAUCCUGAAUUAAGAUGAAUGUGUUUUUUCCUUCAAAUGUGUGUGUAUGAGUGUGUGUGUGCACAUAUGUGUCAGUGCAAAGUCCAGCUGUAACACAGAGCCCUGACCUUAUGACUAGUUGUUUUACAUGUUGGAGGUCAAAGGGGAGGUAAAAGAUCAAAAUAUAAGAUGGAAUUGGGCCAGGUGCAGUGGCUC
rnacentral:lncRNA from 1 species